rnacentral:rRNA from 1 species
GACGAACGCUGGCGGCGUGCCUAAUACAUGCAAGUAGAACGCUGAAGAGAGGAGCUUGCUCUUCUUGGAUGAGUUGCGAACGGGUGAGUAACGCGUAGGUAACCUGCCUUGUAGCGGGGGAUAACUAUUGGAAACGAUAGCUAAUACCGCAUAACAAUGGAUGACACAUGUCAUUUAUUUGAAAGGGGCAAUUGUUCCACUACAAGAUGGACCUGCGUUGUAUUAGCUAGUAGGUGAGGUAAUGGCUCACCUAGGCGACGAUACAUAGCCGACCUGGGAGGGUGAUCGGCCACACUGGGACUGAGACACGGCCCAGACUCCUACGGGAGGCAGCAGUAGGGAAUCUUCGGCAAUGGGGGCAACCCUGACCGAGCAACGCCGCGUGAGUGAAGAAGGUUUUCGGAUCGUAAAGCUCUGUUGUAAGUCAAGAACGGGUGUGAGAGUGGAAAGUUCACACUGUGACGGUAGCUUACCAGAAAGGGACGGCUAACUACGUG